GUCCUCACUUCAGCAGCACAUAUACUAAAAUUGGAAUGAUGCAGAGACAAUUAGCAUGACCCUGCACAAGGAUGACAUGCAAACUCAUGAAGUGUUCUGUAUUUUU